rnacentral:lncRNA from 1 species
CACACUGACGCCGCCAUAUUUAUUCGAAAUUUUUAUUGUUCAUUUUGAUUUUUUGUUGCCUGUAAAAAUGAGUAUUUGAAGGCAAGACGAUGCCUUUUAAAGAGGAUAAAAUAUCAGGGAUGAUUGCCUAGCAUACAGGUAAGAAUAUUGUUAUGUUUUCUAUAUAAUAGAGCAAUUUUGAAACGAAAUAUUUGCAAUCUUCAUUCGUGAAUUUUGAACCAUAUGUUCCGGCUUAAAAUUUGAAUUUGCCGCGACAAUAUUUGAAUUAAAACGAUAAUAUAAAUACAUUAGUUUUCACAAAGGCUUGCAUUUGACUCAGCCCUAGUUUAUAUAUCGAAUAAUAUGACAGAUAAUUUGUAACAAUGUUUCUUGUCUAGAAUAAUAUAGCUUUAUAAUUGGCAUCAUUCUACAUUUCUACUCAAUCCUCAUAUCAUGUGCCCACUUAAGCACGUCCCAGCUAAACAUGGCUUGAGAGAAUUUAUUGACUUUAAUAAUAUCAACUGCUACUUUUAUAAGUUUCAAAUGUUUAUUCAUAUAUAUAUACAGUAUAAGUGGGUCGGUUUAGAUAAAAAUGUCAAUUUGAUGUGUUAUAUGGCAACUUGAUUUAAUGACAGUUAAGUCCUAAAAAUGCAUGUAUAAUAAUACUCCAAUAAGCCUAAUUUUCAGCACUUUGUUAAAAUUAAAUGUUAUCUUAACUAAUGCCGGACAAUUUUAUUUGUCCAGGGAAGUGUCUAGCUAGACUCUGCCCAUGUUUCAUGUUGACAUAUUUAGAUGCAAUUUUACCUAACACUCCCCACUUUAACUACUGCGAUAUUUAACUCGAUGGUGGAGUGCUUGCCCAUAUUUCACGUUUUAAGUAUUAACAUCUAGGAAGCAAUUUCCUCUUCUAAAUGUUACCUACUUUAAGUUCUUUGAAGGGGUGUAGAGAAUAGAGUCUUUUUUGCUAUCCUGCUGGAUACAGGAUAGGUUGGAUAGUUUUUGCUAUCCUGCCAGAUAUGUACACGAUAUAGUAUGUUGGAUAGUUGAAAAUAUCCAGCCAGAUUCAUGGUAUUAUUAUCCAAAUAUAUAUGGUUAAUGCCUCAUAAAUUUAAGGUCACUCCUUUAAAUGGCGAUGUGCCCAGCAGCCUGGAUGCUCCCCACUGUAUUAUUUUACUUGUCAGUUGUCAGGAGGAGAGUGCUGACAGUCAAUGGGUUAAUCAGACUAUCUGCCCAUGCACCCUAUCAACCCUUCAAGUGGCAAUGUGCCCCACUUUAUUAUUUUACUGUCUAAUUAGAUGUCAGACAAUUUCACUUGUCAGGAGGAGAGUGCCGCCACUCAAUGGGUUAAUCAGACUAUCUGUCCAUGCACCCUGCUAACCCUUCAAGUGGCAAUGUGCCCCACUUUAUUAUUUUACUGUCUAAUUAGAUGUCAGACAAUUUCACUUGUCAGGAGGAGAGUGCCGCCACUCAAUGGGUUAAUCAAACUAUCUGCCCAUGCACCCUAUCAACCCUUCAAGUGGCAAUGUGCCCCACUUUAUUAUUUUACUGUCUAAUUAGAUGUCAGACAAUUUCACUUGUCAGGGGGAGAGUGCCGCCACUCAAUGGGUUAAUCAGACUAUCUGCCCAUGCACCCUACUAACCCUUCAAGUGGCAAUGUGCCCCACUUUAUUAUUUUACUGUCUAAUUAGAUGUCAGACAAUUUCACUUGUCAGGGGGAGAGUGCUGCCACUCAAUGGGUUAAUCAAACUAUCUGUCCAUGCACCCUACUAACCCUUCAAGUGGCAAUGUGCCCCACUUUGGAUGUCAGACAAUUUCACUUGUCAGAGUGCUGUCACUCAAUGGGUUAAGUGCUUCACCUUCCCUAAAUUUAUUUCCACUUCCCCCACUAUUUCCACCAAAAAUCUAAAAUCCAUCCUUGGUAUUAUGGAACUGUUUUCAUUGGGAGAUUGUUGAUGUACUCUAAGUGUGUUUCGUCAGUAAUAUUAUCAAUCAUAUAGUCAGUCUUGAUAUGCAUGCACUUAUCUUUUCCUGUUUUACCUACAAUCAACAGGAUGGUGAUGUUACAAAGAAGAUCAAGAAAUAUGUAUCUCCAAGACUUCUGCAUGAUGUUUGUUGCUGAAGGAAUGGUUGUCACCAAACUGAAAGCUGUAAAUAUCUUAAAUAUCUGUAUUUUGUUUGCAUAUUGUAUGUGUAUAGUGCUGAAGGUGUAACUUGAGAAACACAGUGAGAAUGUGUUUUUAUUUUUGGAACAUAUUCUUAUUCCCUGCAGUGGAAAGAAGAGACUUACAUCCAUGUUGCUAAUGCCAGUUGAACACUUAAUUUCUUUUAUGAAAUAGAACAUUGCAAGCAUGCAUGCAUGUCCAAUCGCAUACAUACAGUUGAUUCCGUUUGACCGAUAGAUAUAUUUUUAUACAAUAUAUUUUCACACAACAGAGCAUUAAUUAAUAUACAGUAUGUGCAUCAAAUUAGGAUUUCCAUCAAUGUUGGGAUUGAUUUUAUUAUAAUUAAUAUUAGCCAAGUGAACAUUAUUUUGUGUGACCUCCUUUUGAUUUUAGAACAUAGCUUUAACUCUUUCUGGCAUAGUUCAACAAGUGUUCUAAGUACUACUGGCUUAAGGUUAUUCCAGCAUUGAUUAAGGACAUGCUAUACAGUAGGUUGUCUUUACUUGUGGUAUCAUGUUUCACUUUCUCUUGUUUCAAAUGGUCCCAUAAAUUCUCAAUAGGAUUUAUGUCCCGAGAUUGAGGAAGAAAAUUUUGUAACAACUAAAUCGCCUUUCUCAUGCUUUCUUCUUAAAUAAUUUUUACACAUGUGAGAAGGGUGGUUCGGAUCAUUAUCCGUUGCAUUAGACAAAUCUCCUUCCACACAACCUUGAGCUACUGUAGAUGGUAUAGUGUGAUCUGGUUGUUCUGGAUUUCUGCCUCAACUUCCAGCCGGACCUAAAUCCUAUUGAGAAUUUAUGAAAAGUGAAACAUAAUCCCACAACUAAAAGCAGCCAACCAAUAGCAUGUUGUUAAUCAAUAAUUCUGGAAUAACCUUGAAAACCAUCAAUACUAAUAAAAACCAUAUUAAAUACUAAGAAAAAACCAUCAAAAUUUGUUCAGUCUACAUGUAUGCCAGGAAGAGUUUAAGCUGUUUUAAAAUCAAAAGGAGGUCACACAAAUAUUAAUAUAAUAUUCACUUGGCUAAUACAGUAUAAUCAAUUCCAACGGUAGUGUAUAUCCUUAUUUGUUGCACAUGUAGUGUGUUGUGUCAAAAUGUAUUGUAUAUCAAUAUAAAAAGGCAAGAUCAUAUUGACUGGACUCAGACUUUUGACCAGUGGCGUAUAAGGUGGCUUUUCAAGGUGACUUUUCCAACUUAUUUAACUCCGAGGAGAAAUGUCUGGGAAAAUAAUUUUCAGAAUUGUCCAAGAUUUCACUCCCAAAAUGCUUGAAAUCGCAUUUCAGGGGAUCUAGAUUUUAAAAUUUUCUUGGGGGUGCAUGCCCCCGAACCCCCCCUGCCCAAGACGGUCUCAUGCCUUGCAUGAGUCUCCCCCCCUCCAAAAUGAAGGUCUGUGUAGUACGCCACUGCUUUUGACCCCCACUGUAUAACGAUGAACUACUUGUAAUGUGCAAGCCAGGAGAAUCAAAUGCGAAGUCCUUUGUCGUUAUAUUUUCUCCUUUUAUAACAAUCCUUUUAUUUGACAAAUCAACUUCCAUAUCAUCCUCCAAAAUUAUCAAUCACAAAGAUCAACCCAUCUUCUCCAAGUAAAACAACAUGAUCUAGCAGCAUGCGUUCGCAAAACACGUUGGGCUGUGACAAUGACAAUAUUUCUAAGGGGCGGGAUUACAGUUGGCGCGCAAUAGAUAGAAGCCGUUUAAUGCGUGCCAUGCACUUCGUUGCCAUUGUUGUUUUUGCUAAAUAAAGUUGUCGAUAACUAUGUCCAUAGUGAAAGUUAAUUAUUUACGACUAUUAUGCUGCAAAGAGAGCAGCGCUCGUUUUUAUGAUAGAAGAAAAUCUAAUGAGUUUCUCUUACGAUGGAUUCGAAACAUGCACGUCUUACAACCGAAGUUGACGACACGGAAGUUGAUUUCUCGUCGUCUUACUUCAACUUUCAAAUAAAAGGAUUGUUAGAGAAGGAGAAAAAUAUCACGAUAAAGGCCUUCGCA